CUUUACCUGAUAGUCCUACAUCUUGUUUUUGCAGGGAUGCUCUGCCAUGCAAAUUCCCUCCUGUUGAUGUCCUAUUUAGUAAACAGUAAGAGAUUCUGGAAACUUAGACAGAAGACAUUUCAACUUCGGCAGUGGUUAAGAGAAGAACAGUCAAUUCAUGAGAGAGGAUGGGUGAGUGCUUCUGUGAUAAAUUGGAAUGAAAUACGAAGCAGCUGGAUCCAGACUGACAGCUCCAAGUCAAUGAGCAGCCAGCGUAAGGUGAUUCUUCAAGCGUGCAGCACCAGGACCCUCUGAGGGAAAUAAGAAGAGACGACGCUGUCAAGCUGCUUGUUGAUGAAUGAACACACAAACAUGAAAAGUAAGAUUGAGACGUGGAUGGUGCCGUUUAAAGAAUGAACACGGACGCAUUGGCUGACAAA